CACGUAGGCGGAUCAGAAAGUUAGGGGUGAAAUCCCGAGGCUCAACCUCGGAACUGCCUCUAAAACUCCUGGUCUUGAGUUCGAGAGAGGUGAGUGGAAUUCCAAGUGUAGAGGUGAAAUUCGUAGAUAUUUGGAGGAACACCAGUGGCGAAGGCGGCUCACUGGCUCGAUACUGACGCUGAGGUACGAAAGUGUGGGGAGCAAACAGGAUUAGAUACCCUGGUAGUCC
rnacentral:rRNA from 1 species